rnacentral:lncRNA from 1 species
UCAAAAUCUCUGGAAGGUUCCUCGAAACCCUAAUCCUCUUCACCACUUUCAAUCAUCAUCUCACUGGAAUCCAUGGUUACUCAGGCCAUGGAUGGACUAUACUCACCUCCCUCCACCCUUAAACGCUUGGUGCUCGAAGUUUCGAGGCCUGACCUCGAUGGUGUCCAUUCAGAUUUUCUCCGAUUCAAGGUUCCAUAUGGCCUCUCCGGCCUUUCUCCGGUGUAUCCAAAGCAUCUCGAGCCUGGUUCUGACUCAUCCGAUUCAAGAUCAGACCUUUUUCCAAGCCUUUCUCAUUUUAGGGUUCCUCUGAAACCCUAAAUAGUUGAGGUUUUCUCAGAUUGUUUUCUUAAAUCUUCUUUAUAUUUGUGCUCUACUAGAAUUUUAAAAUGUUUUCCCUAAUUUUUCUUUCAAAAAUUACUUCUCUUCGAUUUACGAUUUUCGAAAGUCUCAAGAUGUUUCUCUGACUCUUCUUCUUCUUUUCUUUGUGGGUAUCCAUCUAUGCUAUGUUCUUAUGUUUUCUCUUCUACCUUGCAUGAUCUUCUACUGUGUUCUUAUGUUUGCAUAUUCUUCUACUAUGUCUCUAUAUCAUGCUAUCACAUGUUUAUCUUGCUAUGUUUCCUUGUGUGUUCUUUUGCUAGGCUUCUUACAUCUCUAUGUUCCUGUAUGUAUUUCCUACUAAGUUUUCAAGUUAUUUGUUUGCCUUUCACUGGACCUUUGGUUGAGUUCUUCUUAAACAUGUUUCCUCUACUAUUUUCUUAAGUGUUAUACUACUUCUUUUUCUCUUCUAAAUUCCUACAUCUCUCUGUUCCUGUAUGUAUUUCCUACUAAGUUUUAAAAUCUUUGUUUGCCUUUCAUUGGACCUUUGUUUUAGUUAUUUUUAAAUAUGUUUCCUCUACUAUUUUCUCAAGUG